GACGAACGCUGGCGGCGUGCUUAACACAUGCAAGUCGAACGGAAAGGCCCUGCUUUUGUGGGGUGCUCGAGUGGCGAACGGGUGAGUAACACGUGAGUAACCUGCCCUUGACUUUGGGAUAACUUCAGGAAACUGGGGCUAAUACCGGAUAGGAGCUCCUGCUGCAUGGUGGGGGUUGGAAAGUUUCGGCGGUUGGGGCUGGACUCGCGGCUUAUCAGCUUGUGGGUGGGGUAGUGGCUUACCAAGGCUUUGACGGGUAGCCGGCCUGAGAGGGUGACCGGCCACAUUGGGACUGAGAGACGGCCCAGACUCCUACGGGAGGCAGCAGUGGGGAAUAUUGCACAAUGGGCGGAAGCCUGAUGCAGCAACGCCGCGUGCGGGAUGACGGCCUUCGGGUUGUAAACCGCUUUCGCCUGUGACGAAGCGUGAGUGACGGUAAUGGGUAAAGAAGCACCGGCUAACUACGUG
rnacentral:rRNA from 1 species